UACGUAGGUGGCAAGCGUUGUCCGGAUUUAUUGGGCGUAAAGGGAGCGCAGGCGGUGACUUAAGUCUGAUGUGAAAGCCCACGGCUUAACCGUGGAGGGUCAUUGAAAACUGGUCGACUUGAGUGCAGAAGAGGGAAGUGGAAUUCCAUGUGUAGCGGUGAAAUGCGUAGAUAUUAGGAGGAACACCAGUAGCGAAGGCGGCUUCCUGGUCUGUAACUGACACUGAGGCGCGAAAGCGUGGGGAGCAAACAGGAUUAGAUACCCGUGUAGU
rnacentral:rRNA from 1 species